ACUUGAUCCCGCGGUAGCAGCAGAGACAGCAAGCAGUCACGGGGGCCUAUAAGAUGCCUAAAACUGAAGGAGGGAAACCAUUAUGUCUGAUCAGGAGAGCUGUCUCCCAAGAGGAUGUGGUGAACCCCCAUUCCUAUUUUUCUCUCUCUUCCCUCCUGCUGCUUGGUCCCGGAUAUGGGUGCAGUUGUGGGAAGUACUGAAAGCCCCAUCUUUCUGGGGUCAGAGGCUAAAAGGUGAACCCCAGGGAAGAAAGAGUCAUGGGGAAAAUUUUGGAGAGAGCAUAGCUUGGGAAAACAACCCCAUAAGAUUAUUUAUAAAUUCCUAGGCUUACUCCCUAACUGUAAAGGAAUGAAUCUAACUCUAACUAAUAUACCAAAGAUUUUGAAAACUGAAUUGUGGGAUAGAACACUGUCCAGGUCCCAGACUGGCCACCGAGUGGCACAUACAUGAGACAGAUCUGAAUAGCACUGCAGAGGCUUUGAAACUGAACUGAAAUUGGAGCUACAACCCACAGAAGGCUGGUUGGGAUAUGCAGCCUGAACCCAAACAAGUUGAUUGCCUGUUAAAAAUAUCUACAUUGCCCAUAGGAUUUAACAUAGCCCAGAGUCUCCCAAAACAUCCAAGAUAAAAUCUAAAAUCACUCGGCAUAUACCAAGAACCUGAAAAACCUCAAAUUUCAUGGAAAAAGACAAACAACAGACUCCAAUGCCAUGAUGAUAAGUGUUGGAAUUAUCAAAGACUUUAAAGCAACUAUUAUUAAAAGGUUUCAAGAGGUAAGGAGAACACUCUGGAAAUGAGUGGAAAGACAGAAAGUCUCCACAGAGAAAUAGAAUAUAUAAAGAGGAAUCAAGUGGAAACUUUGACCUGAAAAAUAACCAAAAGAAAAAAUGCACACUAUGGGCUCAAAAGGAAAAUGAAAAUAAUAGUGUAAGUAGUGAAUUUAUUGGUAGAUUCAUAAAAAUUAUCCAAUCCAAACAAUAAGGAAAAAAAUUAAGAAAAAAUAAUGAACAUAGAUAGCCUUUGGAAGCUGUAAGAAAAUACUAAAGGUUUAACAUUUGUCAUUGGAGUUCCAGAAGGAGAUGAGAAAGGGUCUGUUAUAGAAAAAUAUUUGAGGAAAUAAUGGCUAAAAAGUCCCAAAUUUGGCCAAAGACAUGAACUUACAGAUUUAAGAAGCUCAACGGAUCUUAAAUAGUAUAAACCCAAAGAAAUCUAUGCCCAGACACAUCACAAUUAAACUGCUAAAAACUAAAUACAAAGAAAAAAAUCUUGAGAGUAGCCAGAGAAAAGAUCACAUUACUUCUAGGAGAAUAGCAAUUUGAAUGUCAGCAAAUUCUCUUCAGAAAGUGCGGAAGCUGGAAGGAUGUGAAACAACAUUUUUUAAAGCACUGGAAGAAAAAACUGUUAACGCAAUCCUUUACUAAUGAGGGUAAAAUAAAGGCAUUACUAGAUAAAGGAAAAGUAAGAGAAUUUACUGCCGGAAGACUUUUUUAUGACCUCAUUUUGUUAGAGUAGUUUUAGGUUUACAAUAAAAUUGAAAGGAAGGUAUAGAGAUUUUCCAUUUACCCCCCCUACCCCCACACAUGCAUAGCCUCCUUCACUCUCAACAUCACUCACAAAUUGGUACAUUUUUUUACCAAGGAUGAACCUACAUUAAUACACUGUAAUCAAGUCCAUAGUUAGUAUGUAAGGGUUCAUUUUUAAUGUUGUAUGUUCAGUGGGUUUGGAUUAAUGAAUUAUGAAAUAUGUCCAUUAUUAUAAUAUCACAUAGAGCAUUUUCACUGCCCUAAAAACCUUGUGUGUCUCUACUCACCUACCCCCUGAAAAUACCGAUCUUGGAGUUCCCAUCAUAUAGGAAUUCCCGUUAUGGCUCAGUGGUUAACGAACCUGACUAGUAUCCAUGAGGACGCGGGUUUGGUCCCCAACCUCGCUCACUGGGCUAAGGAUCUGGUGUCGCCUCGAGCUGCGAUGUAGGUGGCAGACGCAACUCAGAUUUGGUGUUGCUGUGGCUGUGGUGUAGGCCAGCGGCUACAGCGCCAAUCCGACCCCUAGCCUGGGAACCUCCAUACGCCGUGGGUGCGGCCCUAAAAAGACACACACACACACAAAAAAAAAAAAAAAAAAAAAAAGAAAGAAAGAAAGAAAGAAAAAGGAAAAAGAAAAACAAAUAUAGCCAGCCAGAAAAACAGAAGCAGGCCACUGUACAUAAGACUAGUGCUUUCCUCUCCUGCUGUCACCAAACAUCCUCCUCCUAGGAUGGAAAAACUGGGAUAGCAUUGUACAGAAGGCUGGGCUGUGGGCGGGAGAAUCCCAAGACAGGAGGUGAACCUUCCAAUUAGCAGGGGGAUGUUUAUGCAGGCACGAGGAGAUGUGGCAGCACGUAAUGCGGGAGUCCUCUAGCAUGUACAGUAUGAAGUAAAGGGUCAUGCGAAAGAGCAUCAAAGUGUAUAGUUUGCUCUAAUUUGAAAUCGGGGCAUGGACAAACCGACCUUUUCCUUUUUAACCAUCUACUGGUAUGUUGGGAGAUAAACAACAUCUAAAACUCCGGAGCUUUUAAUGGCUUUAUUGGAGGAAACAACUGUGCUUAGUUUUAGUGACCAGAGAUGAACUUGAAAUAGUUUCUAAGUAAAAAGUUGAUUUUUUGUUUUCAAUUUAAUCUUUCCUGAAUUGUUCGUUUUGGAUUUUAAGCCGUGCUGCUAUUGUGAUUUUUAAAGAUGUUAUUUUGGGUGAUGUUUGACCAUCUAAGGAAAUUAGUGC
rnacentral:lncRNA from 1 species